AUUAGAGGAAAGAUUUGAUCUGAUUGCAACCUCUGAAGUUAGCAGAACUAACGGAAACAAAAAUGCUAAAGCAGUUU
rnacentral:ncRNA from 1 species